AGAGAGGAGUGCACUAUAAGAAGCGUCAAAACAAUUAUUAAGCCACGGUCGAGAGGCGGAGAGCGGUAGUGUGCACAAUGAAGACAUAACACGGGAGAUUUUACUUGACUAACUGAAUUGUUGUCCAUCCAAAGCCGAGGACCCAGAAGCUUUUGGCAGCGCCGUGAAGAUUUCUGGGCGCCUCGCAUUGAAGUGGGUUCUGGUAGUGCACUUAUCUCUCCCGUGCUGUCGCCUGGCUACCUUUCAAAUACCGGCAAAAAAAUACAUGACAAAAACACUUACGUUUCAGCACCUUAAGCGAGGACAGCUCCUUUCCUUGGCGUAACAUUCAAAGACUCAAUUGGAGCCUGCACUUCUGAGCGAAUUGAAACAUUCUGCCUCUUGUUCCAGAACUCUUCGUACGUAUGGACACUCCCAGUGUCGCUUACUGUAUCUGUAUUGCGAGCCUUAAAGUAGCUUAAAAAUCCAUCGUCGCAGAAUCAGGAAUUGACUUCAAGCUCAAUAUGUACCAGGGUCAUUUGCAGGGGAGAGAUUCUAGGGCUGCAGAUAAGACUGUUGCCAUGGUCCUGAAGGAGAUACCCAGUAAGGCGUCUUCAGAAGUGAAACCCCUCCUCACGGUGACAACCAAGCUGGUGAGUGAGCAACAAGAGAGCCGCCCCCUGCUAAGCCCCUCCAUCGACGACUUUCUCUGUGAGACCAAGUGCCAUGGCGCUGCCCGCCUAAUGACUUCGAACACAGCAGUUCUGUCCUCCACAUUGGACCUAUUGGACCUCAGCGAGCCCGGAGAGAGAAGGAACAGCAAGCAGGAUAAGAAGAGCCCUCUGUUGUCACGUGGGGACGGGCCUAAGAACAUGCCUCACUGGAAGAAGACGACGGACGAGACCGAGCUGAUCCAGGUGGAUGUAGAGCAGACUGUCCCCUGUCCCCACACUCCUGAAAGAGUGUCACUUGACUCAGUCAACAUUGCCUCUCCUUUGGAGAAAUGGGAGGAGCUCAAUGUCCACACUGAACGAAACAGCAGCAGAAAGUGGAAAUUGGAGAGACGGGGUUCAUCGAAAAACUCCUCCAGUGAACUUCUGUGGUCCAUAGACUGCAAAACGCAAUCAGAGCCACCCUCCAAGAGCUCUUUGGAAGUAAAUACCAUAGCAGAGGCCGAGCCAGCUCUAGCAUUUCAACUCAACAGACAGUAUAUUAGUGGAAGACAUGGCCGUUUGAGUAAAGAGCGGUUCGGUGGCGGUGCCCUCCUGUCCAGAAACCAGUCCCUGGAGGAAGAGUUUGAGCGAGCCAAGGCAGCUGUGGAGUCAGACACAGAGUUCUGGGACAAGAUGCAAGCAGAGUGGGAGGAGCUAGCACGACGGAACUGGCUAACGGAGAAUGAGCAAGCGCAGAUCCCCUCCAGUGUGUCGCCUCACGAGAAGGGUUACUACUUCCACAUGGACAACCCCUACAAGGACUGGCCCAACGCGUUUGAGGAGGGUCUUCGAAAGUCCAAAGAGGGAGACCUGCCCAACGCUGUGCUGCUACUGGAGGGGGCCAUCUUGCAGGACCCCCAGGACUCAGAGGCUUGGCAAGUGUUGGGGACCACCCAGGCCGAGAACGAAAACGAACAGGCAGCUAUCGUCUCCCUCCAGAGGUGUCUCGAGCUCCACCCCAAUAACCUCCAAGCCCUCAUGGCCCUGGCGGUGAGCCUGACCAACACGGGCAUGAGGCAGGAUGCAUGCGAGGCAUUGCUGCGCUGGCUCCGUCACAACUCCAAGUACAAGCACCUGCUGAAGGGCAAGAGCCACCUGGCGGGCUCCCCGGGCUCCCAACGUAGGAUGUCUCGUGUCUCAACUGUGGGCAGAUAUGAGAGCUCUCUACUGCCUGAGGUGAAGGAUCUGUUUCUGGAGGCAGCCCAGCACAACAGGGACACCGACCCGGACCUGCAGACGGGCCUGGGUGUGUUGUUCAACAUUAGCGCGGAGUUCAACAAAGCUGUGGAGGCCUUCAAUGCUGCCUUGACGGUGCGGCCAGAGGACUACCUGCUGUGGAACCGCCUGGGGGCCACGCUGGCUAACGGGGACCGCAGCGAGGAGGCGGUAGAGGCCUACACCCGAGCCCUGGAGCUCCAGCCGGGCUUCAUUAGAUCCCGUUACAACCUGGGCAUCAGCUGCAUCAACCUAGGAGCACACCGGGAGGCGGCCAGUAACUUCCUAACAGCCCUGAGUCUGCAGAGGAAGAGCCGUAGUCAGCAGCUCUCGCAACAGGUCAUGUCGGGGAACAUCUGGGCCGCCCUGCGGAUAGCCCUCUCCAUGAUGGACCAGCCGGAGCUCUUCCAGGCAGCCAACAUCGGAGACUUGGACCUCCUCAUGAAAGCCUUCAACCUGGACAUGUGAGUGGAGAUGGGCCUUGGAGACAAGUCUCUACUCUCCUACCAACAGGCCUUGGAGACGAGCUCUUCUCUCCUACCAACAGGCCUUGGAGACGAGCCUCUUCUCUCCUACCAAUAGGCCUUGGAGACAAGUCUCUACUCUCCUACCAACAGGCCUUGAAGACAAGUCUCUACUCUCCUACCAACAGGCCUUGGAGAUGAGCCUCUUCUCUCCUACCAACAGGCCUUGGAGACGAGCCUCUUCUCUCCUACCAACAGGCCUUGGAGACGAGUCUCUUCUCUCCUACCAACAGGCCUGGGAGAAGAGUCUCUACACUCCUAUCAACAGGCCUGGGAGAAGAGUCUCUACACUCCUAUCAACAGGCCUGGGAGAAGAGUCUCUACACUCCUAUCAACAGGCCUGGGAGAAGAGUCUCUACACUCCUACCAAAUGCCAAAAACCCAAAGUGUACAGUUGGAAAGAGCUGUUUUGUCCAGUUAAUGACGAGUGUGUGGUCUAUUUUGGCGAGCACUACAACAUCUUUACUACUCCUCAGUACCUCUGCAGUCUUCUUGAGUACUGCAUGUGCUCGAAGAGUCUAUUUUGCGAUGGAUUUGCACUGCAAUUUGUGAUUUCCCCGAAGAGCACAAGGACGGGCAAAGACUGUACAAGUAAUGCCUUAGAGAACACAGUAAUUAAAACUAACUCAUUGGAACUGAGCAAGAGAGAGAAAGAGAAAUACUGAGAAUGCUUUUGCUGAACAGUGUUGAGGGUUGACAAGAACGGUUUCCUCAUCCAGAUACUUUUAGAGUGUCCGGAUUAUCACACUGACCUAAAGGAAGGAUUUAGUGAGUAAAAUCAAUAAAGACUACACCAUAAGCCGUGGGACUCGGAGACAGUUUUCAGCAAGAAUCAAUAUUCUUUUUUGGGGGGUUGGUUUUAUCCUCUUUUCUGUGAGGAACAACACUGCAUGGAAACUAAAGCAUGUUCCUAAAUGGAUUCGGUGGCACUUGCCUGAACCUAAAAGCUUAGAACCUUUUUUCCUUACUUGGGACUCUGCACUUUGAAAAACAAACAGAUAAGUUCCUCUUAUCUUAAUGAAACGAGACAGAUUGUAAAAGCAUUACCUUAAACGCAUGCUAAAACGAAAUUGAUUUACACCAUUUUUAUGGCAACCAAUGUAAGCCAUUUUCAGAUUCAUUUUUGACUUCCUCGAAUACCUGACAUCCUCCGAAUUCUUCACGUUUUGUGGUGUUUCCAGCUCCUCAUUUCACUUUACCCUAACUGGUUUGAGAGAAGCACUCAUUAGCUGGACAAGAUGGACCCGUAUUUUUCCCUCAGAGCUGGGAAAUGGUUGGAACAGUCCAGUAGCAAAUGCAAGAGGAGGAAAACAGAGAAGUCUUUUGUGUAUGGAAUCACUGUUGAAAACAUCAAGGAGCCAGAGCCAACUGCAGAGACACAGCACAUAUGUGCACACUGCUGGCAAUCUGCAUAGGAGGCUAGCUUUGAAGACCAGAAAACACAUCGGCGGACUGUACAACGUCAAAGGCAACUGGGCCAACACGUUAUGGCAUCCUUCCAUUUAUUAAUGAAUUUAGUCUGUUGCCCAACUACCCCAACAAGAUGAUAUUCCUUCACUCCCACCCAGCGAGCAAAGGCGGUUGAGAUCUAGUUGUAACCAAUCAUGAUCGUCACUGCGAUCAUGAUUGACUACGUCUUAGUGAGUCAUAGAACGAUGGCUGACAACUCUACACUGUAGAUGUAUAUGGAAAAUAGUAUUGAGAACAGAAUUGUUUUUAUUCCAAAGUGCAUAAUUUACAGAAAAUGUUUUCUGGCCCCAUGCCUCCUAGUUGCCCUUACUGUCAGCAGCAUAUACACUGUAGUACAAUGCUGAACCAGGAUUUACUGUAUCAAGUGAUUUCUUCAAAAUCACUCUGAUUUCUUAUGGUCUAGUAAUCCUGUGCUUUUUGAACAAAAAUAAAUGUAGUUAUGUAGAAGAUUAAAUUAUUUUUUUAACAGUUUUUGAAUUAUUGGAUUACCAACUAUAUAUAUAUAUAUAUAUAUAUUAAUUACUGUAGAAUUUAUAUUGAUAUAUAUAUAUAUAUAUUAAUUACUGUAGAAUUUAUAUUGAUGUGUGUUGAGUUAGGAUGCCCAAAGUACCUUUUCUAGAACAGUUGACCUUCUCAGGUGUGAUGACCUAGCUACACCUAACAUACUCCAGGUUGAAUGCAUGCUAGAUCUUCUAUGCUUUAUUUUGAAUGAUCUUAUAUUUUCAUGCAUGCAGUGCUUUUCUUUCACCUAAUUCUAAAAACAAAAUAUAGCAUGAUGUUACAUAGCAAUAUUUUUCCAAUCCACUUUUAAAACAUCUUCAUUUUAUGAAAUGUAACAUACCUAUUGUAUAUUGUGCACAACAUACAAUAACAAAACAUUUGCAGUGAAUCUGGAGAGAAACCAAAAGUAGUGCUCUCUAACUGAUUACCGAGUGCAGGUCUCGGCCCACACGCCAACCGUUUGGCUAAAGGGUUUCGGAUCCUCUCAGGCGUGUAUACAACUGAAUGACUACAACACUUCCUGCUCAGUGUAAUAGCAUUAAGUCCUACAGUUUUCAAUAAUUUCUCUAUGUCUCGUGUACGAUACAUUUCAUUGUACCCUGCUGGUUUACUCUGGUUUGUUUCUAUAGCUGAUAUACAAGUAUGAAUAGAUCUAUUAAUAUUUUUGAUGCCUUAAAAAAAAUGAAAUACUUUACAGUGUACCAACAAUGCAUAAUAAAUACUCUCCCGAUGUACCUAAAACACUAGUCAAGCAUCAACACCUUUCAGACAUAUGAUAUGAAAGUUGUCUUUUAAAAUAAACUUGUAAUAUAUUCAAAGUGUCUC